GGCCAGUGAAUUCGAGCUCSGUWCUGYCGGGGAUCCUCUAGAGAUUGGUUAAGUCCCGCAACGAGCGCAACCCUCGUCGUCGGUUAUCGGUGUCCGAGGAAACUGCCACGAUCAACGUGGAGGAAGGUGGGGAUGACGUCAAGUCAGCACGGCCCUUACGUCCUGGGCGACACACACGCUACAAUGGCGAGGACAACGAGUCGCCAACCCGCAAGGGGGAGCUAAUCUCAGCAAACCUCGUCUCAGUUCAGAUUGUAGGCUGCAACCCGCCUGCAUGAAGUUGGAGUUGCUAGUAACCGUGAGUCAGCACAUCACGGUGAAUCCGUUCCC
rnacentral:rRNA from 1 species